GUGAGAAGGCAGGAUGGGGCAGUGCUCCUGUCCUCGUGGCUCUGUGAUCUUCUCCAUCAGGACUCUACCGUCUGGGGAAAGGAGUGAGGAGGCCACCGUAGUCUCCAAUCCGAUCUGAGUUCUGAAGACAAAAUUAGUUUGCAGCAUCACUGAAGACGAAGACAGAUAUUUGAGAACUUCCUGACCUCUCUGAAUCACUUAAAUGAAAUUUGCAAGGUGGAUAUUAACUUCCGUGGCAGCUUCUCUGACUCCCGAUUCCCUGGAUUUGCUGAGCUGGACAACUUCAUCCCACCUGGGUUGAAGAGCUGCCUAACCAGCAGGAAGUGACUGGGAAAACUUUUCCUCCCAUCUGAGGUCACUUCCGCUUGAAGGAGGCCGGCUGCUGAGAAGUAUGCCAUCAGAGGAACAAGAAAAGAGCCUUGACACUCAGGGCCUGUCUGGAGAGAGGAGAUUCACACAUGCAUCAGCAAAGCAGGGGAAGGAGAGCCGCCCUAUACCAAGACUAGCAAUUAAAAUUGCGAGAAGACACUUGGCAGGAGUGUCAGCAGCAAGGCACACGCGAAGUGGAGAGGAACAAAAGCACUCACCUCCAGAAAGAGCCAGAAAGUUCGAGACAAGGCAAUUCUCAAUGUUGCUAGUAUGUGCUGACACCGUAAUACAGACACGUUCGAAACAAGUCAUCUAAUGAAUAGAAAUCUACUACCUCGUCGAUAUGGAGACUUUCAUCAGCAACUAAGGCAGAAGGUAAACAGGAAGAUGGCUGUUGCUAAGCACACUUAUUCCAAA